AUACCGGCUGCUCGAGUGAUGGCCACUAUUACUGGGUUUAAAGCGUCCGUAGCUUGACUGUUAGGUCUCUUGGGAAAUCUUUUGGCUUAACCAAACGGCGUCUUAGAGAUACCGGCAUUCUUGGAACGGGGGGAGGUAAGCCGUACUCCGGGGGUAGGGGGGAAAUCUUGUAAUACUCGAGGGACGACCUCGGGCGAAGGGAGCUUACCAGAACAGCUUCGACAGUGAGGGACGAAAGCUGGGGGAGCAAACGGGAUUAGAUAACCCGGUAGUCCCAGCCGUAAACAAUGUGCGUUAGGUGUGUCGGUUACCACGCGUAACUGAUGCGCCGAAGAGAAAGCGUGAAACGCACCACCUGGGAAGUACGGUCGCAAGGCUGAAACUUAAAGGAAUUGGCGGGG
rnacentral:rRNA from 1 species